UUACAAAGGUGAGGGGUGGGGCUACUAACGAGCCAAUUCAUUUAAGGUAGAAGUGGCCUAUUCUCAACAGUUGACAAGAAGGGGUGAAUACCAAGAGAGG